UACGUAGGGUGCGAGCGUUAAUCGGAAUUACUGGGCGUAAAGCGUGCGCAGGCGGUUCGUCGUGUCCGAUGUGAAAGCCCGGGCUCAACCCUGGGAAUGGCAUUGGAAACUGGCGGACUCGAGUGUGGCAGAGGGGGGUAGAAGUUCCACGUGUAGCAGUGAAAUGCGUAGAGAUGUGGAGGAAUACCGAUGGCGAAGGCAGCCCCCUGGGAUAACACUGACGCUCA
rnacentral:rRNA from 1 species